rnacentral:rRNA from 1 species
AUACGGAGGAUCCGAGCGUUAUCCGGAUUUAUUGGGUUUAAAGGGUGCGCAGGCGGCCAUUUAAGUCAGCGGUUAAAUCGUGGGGCUCAACCCCAUUCUGCCGUUGAUACUGGGUGGCUUGAUUGCGGUCGAGGUUGGCGGAAUUCGUUGUGUAGCGGUGAAAUGCAUAGAUAUGACGAAGAACACCGAUUGCGUAGGCAGCUGACCAGAUCGCAAAUGACGCUCAUGCACGAAAGUGCGGGGAUCGAACAGGAGUAGAUACCCUGGUAGUCCGCACAGUAAACGAUGAAUACUUGUUUUCGGCGAUAUAAUGUCGGAGGCAAAGCGAAAGCGAUAAGUAUUCCACCUGGGGAGUACGCCGGCAACGGUGAAACUCAAAUGAAUUGACGGGG